rnacentral:misc_RNA from 1 species
AAAUCUCAUAAAUAAAAGUUUUUUGUUUGUGGACUUGAAUUUGCGAUUUUACAAAUUGCUAAUUUAAAAUGAAUUUCAUGAAGCUUAUAUAUUGCUUUGUUCCUUUGCUUAAUAGUUUUGCUUUGUCAAAUCUUUUGCAAUUGUUUACAAAUGCCUCAAAAAGUGAAUUGAUUUUUUACGAAUUUACAUCUCAUU